rnacentral:rRNA from 1 species
CCUACGGGAGGCAGCAGUGGGGAAUAUUUGGCAAUGGAGGCAACUCUGACCCAGCAACGCCGCGUGAAUGAUGAAGGUCUUCGGAUUGUAAAGUUCUUUUCUAAGGGAAGAAGAAAGUGACGGUACCUUAGGAAUAAGCCUCGGCUAACUACGUGCCAGCAGCCGCGGUAAUACGUAGGAGGCAAGCGUUAUCCGGAAUGACUGGGCGUAAAGGGUGCGUAGGUGGUUUGACAAGUUAGUAGCGCAAUUCCGGGGCUCAACUUCGGAACUACUACUAAAACUGUUGGACUUGAGUGCAGGAGGGGCAAUCGGAAUUCCUAGUGUAGCGGUGGAAUGCGUAGAUAUUAGGAGGAACACCAGUGGCGAAGGCAGAUUGCUAGGCUGUAACUGACACUGAGGCACGAAAGCGUGGGGAGCAAACAGGAUUAGAUACCCCAGUAGUC